GUUAGUGGUAAUUUUCAGAUUUCCUUUGGUCUUGAAAGACUUCUUUUAGUGUUCAUAUUUUUCUGGCUAGUUACCAGAGUUCAGCCGAAAUCCGACAAGUCCACCACCCAAAAGACCCCGGUUGCUCUAACCCAUUUCUUUCUCCAUUUUUCUGGUGAAAAGUUAACCCAACGCUUCUCCUCUUCGCUGCUGUUGUCAGCAGAUCUCAUUAGCUGCAGCAAACAACAACAAGUGACCCAUUUUCCUGGCCAAACCACCACCUGAAACCCCCAAAACAGCCAGCAAACAACAAUUAAACUAAACCCCAACCUCCCUUUAUCUUCCUUUUUCAGUGAGCUUUUGCAAACAACCAGACCCUUUUUCACUUUAUUUGCGUCCAUUCUUGCCAUGAAAAUCAUUUACGGUGAAAUUCUCAUCGCUUUUCAGCUCUAACCAGCCACCAAAUCGCUGCUAAAUCCAGCCCCGUUCCUUCACGUACAACUAACAAAAAGAACCCUAUCCCUUUCCCCCCUUUUUUCGUAUUUUCUACUUGUUUCUUUUGCAGGUCUCAAGCGAGCUCGACUCCAGCUGCACUGCCGGUGAAAUGGAUAUCCAACCAAUGCCAUCACUGGACGGCUAACAUCGAAAAAUAGCAAUGCCAACUCCGGCGAACACUAUCAGUGAGUUCACAAGUCCAAAUCAGCAACACUACUUGAUUCCGACAAAUGGGUUCUGGAUACGUCUGAGUAUCCAAAAUUUGGAUCUAAGGAGCACGUUUGAGCUUAAGUGUGGGUGACGACCCGUGA